GUUAGGAUGGUCGAGUGGUUUAAGGCAUAAAACUCAAGUUUCUAAUCCUAGAAAGAAGACAUGGGUUAAAAUUCUACUUCUAAUG